rnacentral:tRNA from 1 species
GUUAACGUAGCAAAACCUGGCCCUGCAAAAGAUCUAAGCCCUUUUAAUAGAGGUUCAAGUCCUCUCGUUAACU